rnacentral:rRNA from 1 species
UGCAGUCGAACGAUGAAGCUUUUAGCUUGCUAGAAGUGGAUUAGUGGCGCACGGGUGAGUAAGGUAUAGUUAAUCUGCCCUACACAAGAGGACAACAGUUGGAAACGACUGCUAAUACUCUAUACUCCUGCUUAACACAAGUUGAGUAGGGAAAGUUUUUCGGUGUAGGAUGAGACUAUAUAGUAUCAGCUAGUUGGUAAGGUAAUGGCUUACCAAGGCUAUGACGCUUAACUGGUCUGAGAGGAUGAUCAGUCACACUGGAACUGAGACACGGUCCAGACUCCUACGGGAGGCAGCAGUAGGGAAUAUUGCGCAAUGGGGGAAACCCUGACGCAGCAACGCCGCGUGGAGGAUGACACUUUUCGGAGCGUAAACUCCUUUUCUUAGGGAAGAAUUCUGACGGUACCUAAGGAAUAAGCACCGGCUAACUCCGUGCCAGCAGCCGCGGUAAUACGGAGGGUGCAAGCGUUACUCGGAAUCACUGGGCGUAAAGGGCGCGUAGGCGGAUUAUCAAGUCUCUUGUGAAAUCUAAUGGCUUAACCAUUAAACUGCUUGGGAAACUGAUAGUCUAGAGUGAGGGAGAGGUAGAUGGA